AUUUACAAAAUGUUCAUGGCAGUGCCCACUUCACAGGGCUGUGAGGAUUACAGAGGAUAAUCCGGGCGAGGCGCAUCAGCCCCAGCGCCGCCUGCCACAAUUCUAUCCGGCCCCACAUAUGCAUCGUCCAUAAGCGUCUGGCCCCUGCAUUCUCGCUUUUCCACGUGGCCGAGGUGCACACCCCAACCCACUGGGCCAGUCUCCCCACCCUCUUACCUGCUCUUCUUUCCCGACUCGUCUUUAAUACCCACCAGGCGCCAACCGCCGCGGGCCUGGCUCUGUGGUGGCAAGUUGCAUGGGUUCUCCCAUCAGGACCUCCCGAUGAGCCUACGAGGUCGGUUCUAUUACUGUCGCCACUUCAGAGGGAGGAAACAGGCCCGGAGGGUUGGGGAACUUCCCGAGGUCACAGAACUGGUGUCAGGCCCAGAUUGGAAUCCAAACACAUCCCAGCCCAUGUCCAACUCCCCAGCGACGGCCCCUGGGCGUCUUCCCGGGUGCCAGGGGCACCCGCAUCCAUUCAAUUGCUGCCCAGUCCCCGCUCCUCAGUCGCUUCCCGCUACUCCGGGCCCGCAUCUCCCCCCGACCCCUCAGGGUCAGGCCUCUGGAUUUUCCUUUUUCUCUUCCAGAAACUAAGGGGUGAGACCGACGUUUGUGUGCCGGACGCGUGCAGGUGGCCGCGACGUUCCCGGGAGACACGCGGGGGGAAAACGAGUCUGUGCGCGCGGCUGUGAGAAGCCCCGACCAAGCUUUCCACACGCUUGUUUCGGGGAGCAGAGGACGCGAGGGCCGACUGAGUCCCCAGCGCGCAGGCUCGGCCGGGGGCGCGUAAUCAGGCAGCCGAGCGGUCCCUUCAAACCGAGUCAGGCAAGCUCUACGUCGUGGGGGCCGCAUGGUGCCGAGAGCGCAGCCCCGCCCCGCCCCUCCGCGCUUAAUGGUUAGUUGGGUAACAGCCAGUGGUGGUAACGCCACGCCACGCACGCGCUCGGCUCCGCGCUUAAUGGCUGGAGUGCAGUGGCGCGAUCUCGGCUCACUGCAACCUCCAUCUCCCGGGUUCAAGCAAUUCUCUGCCUCAGCCUCCCGAGUGGCUGGGAUUACAGAAGCAGUAUCUGACAGUGUUGCCCAGGCUGGUCUUGAACUCCUGGCCUCAAAUGAUUCUCCUGCCUUGGCCUCCUAAAGUGCUGGGAUUACAGACAUGUUUAUUCAAUUUUUAAUGUCAGACCAUAAGAAUAUCAGGUCUCUGAGCCCAAGCUAAGCCAUCAUAUCCCCUGUGACCUGCAUGUAUGCAUCCAGAUGGCCUGAAGAAACUGAAGAAUCACAAAAGUGAAAAUGGCCUGUUCCUGCCUUAACUGAUGACAUUACCUUGUGAAAUUCCUUCUCCUGGCUCAUCCUGGCUCAAAAGCUCCCCCACUGAGCACCUUGUGACCCCCACUUCUGCCUACCAGAGAACAAUCCCCUUUGACUGUAAUUUCCCACUACCUUCCCAAAUCCUAUAAAAUGGCCCCACCCCAUCUCCCUUCACUGACUCUUUUAAGACUCAGCCCGCCUGCACCCAGGUGAAAUAAACAGCCUUGUUGCUCACAC
rnacentral:lncRNA from 1 species